UUCUUUUCUUUUUUUUUUUUUGCAAAAAGAUGUCUUUUGAAUUCCAGCAUCCUGGGUGGUCCCCACACUAACUGGAUGCUAGUCUCUGCCUCAGAUAUCCCUGAUGCUGAGUUGCAUACUGUGGAUUAUCUCACACAGGCUGUGCACAAACUCUGCCAGCACAUGCAAAGUGGGGCGAAGUGGGUAGCAGAGUACUCCGAGUGGCAGAUAUGAGGCAUCCCCCGCCCAUCCUCCGAAUACACACAGCCCUAAUCCCCACCAUUGAGCCAUUGACACUGAAUAACAGAGAGAACAAUGGUAUUGUCUUCCAUCUAAUCCAAACUAAGAAACUCCAGCAAUGGGGAAAAAGAAAACAUUUAAGUCUUUAAUCUAAUACUGAAAAGGACACAAACUCUAGAAUUACAAAAACAAAUCAUUACUUUUUUCACACAAUGGGCAAGAAGACCUUGAGGAGGCAAAGAAUAGGUUCCCUGGGGAGAAUUUUUUUUUUUUUUUAAAUUAUAGAUUUAAUACCUAGGAGAAAGAGGCUAUCUAUUACGGGGAGGCAGAGCUACUCCUGGUUCCUUCUUUUAAAUGUAAUCUAUGAGAAAGCCAUCUUCACAACGGGAAAUGGCAUCCCCCACUGCAAAACGCACGACUGUCAUUACCUGGGAAUCAAUAUAUUUUUUUAAACCAAAUAUAUCAUUAUCAAUUGAUUUUCCUUUUUCCUCUUAGCACUCCAGAGUCCCGGGUAGCAGGGGAAAGCUUUAAUGUGAUAUGAAGGAUUUGGACAGGUAAAUAAGUUAUUGUAAACUCAUUCUGCCUUAUGGUCAGCUUCCCUCUGACAACGCAACGAGUCUUUCUCAGAUCCUCUCAACCUAAGCUUUUCCAGCGGCCGCUGAUAGAGAUGCACGUGAUCCAUAUCAAAUAGCCAUUUUCAAGCUGAAGGUGGCAAAAAUAUUAUUUUUCUCAAGGAUAGAAUGUUCUCUUUACGACUAAGAAAUAACCUCUGCGGGGAAGCAAAAUCAGCCAAGGUCGCCAUUUAAUUUUGACACAGAACCAAAGUGGCGAGUACAUUUCCUCUCCAAGGUGAAGCACAAGGAGAAACUGAUCACUUUGACCACAAGGUAUUGGCAAUACUGGUGAUCGAUGUAUUCUGGGAAAGAUCCUUGGCAGAUAAGUGCUGGUGAACAGAGAGGUCUAGGAGAUAGGGGUCAAACCAUUUUUAGGUGCUUGAGAAUCUCAUUCAUUCAUUCAUUCAUUUAAUAAAUAUUGAUUCCCUCUAUGUGUCAGGCAGUAUGUUCAAGGCACUGGGAAUACAUGAGUGAACAAAAGAGAAAGGUACUCCUGCCCUCAGGGAGCUCAUAUUCUAGAGGGUGGAAACACAGAAUAUACAAUACACUUAAAAAGUAGUGAAAAUUGUAUCAUAUUUUGGAAGGUAGUAUAUGCAAUUUAUUAGAGAAGAAAUGGAGCAGGGUAGGGUGCAUGUUGUCGGGGGGCCUGUGGUGCAGUUUAAGUAGGGUGGGCAGGGCCAGUCUUGUGAGUGGAGGACAUUUGAGCACACACUUCAAGAUGAGGAGUAGGUCGUGUGGGCAUCUGGCCCUAAGUGUUCUAGGCAGAGGGAACAGCCAGUGAGAACAUGGCUGGUAUGUUCCAGGACCACCAAGGAAGCCACUGUGGCUGGUGGAGGGAGAUUCUAGUAAGAGGUGAGGCCAGAGUGGUGAGCAUCCUGAUUGCGUAGGGCCCUGUAGGCUACUGUGAAGUCUACUAACUUGAGAGCCCAAAGAUCCCAGCCACCAUCUUUAGAAGUGGCUCCCAAUUUCUUGAGCCAAAACCCUCAGAGUUCAUGUCGGGUUAAUCCACUUCCUUUCCAGGCUGUGCCGAAUGAAUAUGGAAUAGGCUAGACUGUAGCCUAGAGGGACAGUGGUGGGAAGGAAGCACAGGCUGUCUACGCCUGUCCUGACGACAGUGGCCUUGCCCUUCCAUCUCUGUGGUCCCUACCUCUAGGGGAGACAACUGAAACAGUUCUGAACAAAAAUAAACCACAUGCACAGCUGAGUUCUCUGGGACUUUUCCUCAUGUGCUGAUGAAAAGGUCUGGAAGUGAAUGACCCAUUGGCUAUUAUAGACUGUACUGGAUGUUUUGUGUUGGGCCCUUUUGACCUGCCUUCCACCUUCCCCACCCUGUUCUUCCCCACCUCUCCCAGGCGAGCCCUGGGAGGCUCACCUGACCUGUAUGGAGAGCAUCCCUCAUGUUUUGGACCCUCUGACUUCUGGUUAGGUUCAGCCCAUGCAAGCACUAGCAGGAGACUGGGGACAGGGUCAGGGUUGACUGUUGGUUCCCCUGCUCCCCUCCCUCUCUGCGUCUUCAUGAGCAGGGUGUCCCUCACCUGCAGGUCAUGGCUCUAGCUGGGGAACAAGGAGCUCCACAAGGCUCUCUCUCUGGAUUCCUGUAAUAGCUCCUUCCCCUGACCAUUAUGCUCAAAGGCAGUAAUUCCCCUCAUCCCAUCAUCAGCCUGGGGGCACUGUGCUAUGAUGGUUUCUCUAUACUGUGCCUAUUCAUCUUUGUGGAUAGUCAUUUUACUUAACUCUCUCCAAAUUACACAUUUGAAUAUGUCUAUUUCAAGACCCCGAUAGAUACAUUCACAGAGAGGGUUAAAAGCAAGACCCUGGAAUCAGAUACAUCUGAAUUAGAAUUCUAACACUGACACUUAGUUUUGUGACAGCAGGUAAGUUCUUUAACUCCUAGGAACCUCUGUUUCCCAUUCUUUUUAGGCCAACAUUCAAAUUGAGGAAAUACAGAGAAUACCACAAAGAUACUACUCGAGAAGAGUAACCCCAGGACACAUAAUGGUCAUAUUUAUCAAGGUUUUGUUUUGUUUUGUUUUGUUUUGAGAUGGAGUCUCACUCUGUUGCCCAGGCUGGAGUGCAGUGGCGCAAUCUUGGCUCACUGCAGCCUCCGCCUCCCGGGUUCAAGCAAUUCUCCUGCCUCAGUCUCCCAAGUAGCUGGGACUACAGGCACACGCCGCCAUGCCCGGCUAAUUUUUGUAUUUUUAGUAGAGACAGGGUUUCAUCAUGUUGGUCAGGAUGGUCUUGAUCUUCUGACCUUGUGAUCCGCCCGCCUCGGCCUCCCAAAGUGCUAAAACUAGAGAACCCGUGACAUCCUCCUCCUCUUCCUCCAUCUCAGCAUCACCAUCUCAGAAGUGCCAUCACCUGCUCAAAGUCCAGGGCAAGCACACCUGCUUCCCGACAUCUUUGCCGACCCCAACCAGAAACUCUUUCCUUGAAAGGGUUUCUAACUGUUCUCGGUUAACAUUUAGCAUCAGUCUAUGCCUCAGUGAUUUUAUUUAUUUUUUCACAUCUUUCCUUUCUUGUUCUUUUCCCACCCACCCAACCCCCACGCCUUGCAGUUAGACCCUGGGCUUAAUAGACAGUAUCUUUUGGAAUCUCUGGUCCAUAGCACCCAUCAUGUAGCGGUGUAUAAACGAUCCUUGACUCAUUAUUGUCCUUUCUGGGAGGCCUAUAAGCUACAUCCAUGCACCUAAGCAUGUCCCACUCUAAUGAGAUACAUGGUAUUUAAAAGUGAUUUAAAAAUAAAUUACUAGAAACCAAUUUUUAGUAAUAAUUUUGUUCCCAAGUUAACACUGUAAAAUCUUAACGUUUCCAAAGAUCAUGGCCUGGGAAAAUGAAUCCCAGGAAUGAACCCAGGAAAUCACAGGGAGGCAGGUAUGGUUUUCUAUCUCCAGGUGAAUAAAGAGAUUGCUUCAGGGCUUAAUUUGUGACACUUUUGGCCAAAUUGACCUUUUCCCUUCCACUAAUUUCAUCAAACGGCAGCCUACAGUCUUAAGGAAAACAAAUCGUAAAAGCUAAAGGACAGAGGACUCUAAUUUAUUUUAAAAAAUACAGUAGGUAGUCAGUCACUGCUUGUGAAAGGGGUCUUAGGACUUUCAGCUUCCCAAGGUACUCAAGAGAUGUUAAUUGACUUUGACAAGGCAUUAAGACCAAUAUGAAAGCAAGACCCUUGAAUGGGCUAUUUGGGUUAAAUGCUUGGAGAGCUUCAAAAUGAAACUAGAGAAAAAUUUUGAGAUCCAUUUUACCUCUAAGUCUAUAAAUAAAGAUAGUUCCUAACAUGAACCAAACUGAUGGUCAAGAGAAUUAUGAACAAGGGCCCCAGGAUUUUUUACUUCUUUAUAAAAUACACCAUGUUUUUAGGGGAGAGAAACUGCCUUAAGAGAGGAGAAACCAAUUAGGGAGCCUCCAGUUUGACACAGCAUCAGAAAGCAGCCCCGCCAGGGUCGUAACCACACUCUCCAAUUAUGGGUCCAGAACCCAGAAGUUCAGCACCCCUCAGCAAACUGGGCAACAAAGAGUCUUUCUUCCUUGGAAAAGAAAAGCAAAGGAACUGGAGGCUGUAAACUGUAGGGAGGAAACCGGCUCCCGAGCCCACCCUCCUGUCAGCCCAGAUAUGGGACUCUGCGGCACCUCUGACCCUGGGCAGGAACGCCUGCUCCCAGUGUGUCCUGCAAGGGGAACGCUCAUUCAUAUUCUUUUUAAGACGAGAGAAAAACAGGCCAUCCAUCCAUUAAUAAUAUCAACUGUGGGUUCACCAAAGCCUGCAGGCUUCUUGCCAACACAAAAAUAAACAUUCUCAGAAGGUUUAUCCAUCAGGUUCACGACAGUUCAUGAGCCGGGGUCCGGAAGGCACUGCUUUUUAAAGGGGAGAGUGAAGAUGCAAAGAUGGAGUAAGUCAUGAGAGUCCACCCAGCACAACGCAGAGAUUGCCUAUUCCAUUAAGGAGCCACAAUUGGCCACUGAUGAGAUCCGUUAUUUUCAGCUGGUAGGGAUGCAGCUCCUGGCAUGCUUUUUGUAGGCUGUAUUCAAAGAAAGACAGUGUCUGCAGAAGCCAGGCUGACCGAUUUGAGAGGUAACAAUGUUUUCAUAAGGCUUGAAGUUUACAAAGCCUAGCCCAUUCUUAUUUUCUCAUUUACCUGUUCUAACAAAUUUAUGAGUUGAUUACUUUUGUAAUCCUCAUUUUACAGAUGAGGGAACAGAGGCUCAUGGCAAAAAAAGGUUGUCCAAAGUCACACAGCAAGUCAAAGAGGGAGCCUGAACAGCAAGCCUGGAUUUUGUGCCUCCCAUUCCAGGCUUUUGUUCCUGGGCCUCCAGCUGCCGUCACCCUUCUCCUCGUGAAAACUCCUCCCUGGACACUUCUUUCUGCACUCUCUGGAGUACGAAACUUUCCAGGCAAAAUACUGGAGACUAUCACAAUAAGGACACACGUGCCACCCAAGGAGGCUUCCUGUUGGGCCAGCACAGCACCAAAGGGCCCAUCUCCUAGUUGCCUUGGAUGGUUUGGGGCGAGGAGAAUGGGAAGAUAAAGAAAAUGAGGUGUUCAUAGUUGGACUGGAUCCUAAGUUAUGCCAUGACAUGACUCCACCAUAAACCCAGCAUGAAAGGUUUCAGGAAAAAAAGUUGCAAACCAAAAUCCUCUUAAAAUCUUUUUUUUUUUUUUGAUACACAGCAGACCCCCCCAAAAUGAAAUGAACUCGAACUCACCCAACUCAGCCCUGCCACUCAAUGCUGGCACAUAUCCCCCCACCCUCACUCUACCAGUUAAUACAGAUUCGCCCAUCACUGGAAGCAGAACCGGAAUGACCCUUGCAUUUCCACAAGAUGAAGAAAAAGAAGCCAAAGGUGCCAACUGGACCUACCAAAGCUUGACUCACCCACAGCAGCACUGAAGAUGUCGGCAGGGAGGACCCACCUGGCACGUAGUAGAUGCUCAGUAAAGAGUAAAGCUCUGUUCAAAAAAGGAAAUUGCCUCCACGGUUCAACUCAUUUUCCACAAUUUUUCUUUGAACAUCUGGAAGAUGUUCACACCAUAGGUUGAUGAUUGGAAUAUAAACCAGUUUAAAAAAAAAUCAGACACUGCUUCCAGAUUUUGCUCUUAUAAACAGGCCUCCAUCCUCCCUGUAAAUUGCAAUAAUUCCUUCCCAGAUGUUGCUUCUCCUUCAGACCCAUAAAUCUCAGCUUUUCAUAAGGAUGCUUCGCCUCUGCCUGGUGCUGCGGGCUGCGUGGCGUGCUCCUGCAUCUUCUCUCCCUCAUUAGAUGCCACACGAACCCCAUGAGGCAGGGCAGGUGCCCACAUCCCUGAUUCCCUGACGGGCAGGCCAGCUGCCAGCUCUCUCAAGUUGGACUGCGGUGGGUGCGGGUGUUGAGCAACACACAGUAGCCUUUUCUCCAACACCCUCCAGGUCACCAUGUGGGUGGGGAGUCAGAGACUCACAGCGCCUACUCCCAUCUAUAGAGGCUCCACUCCCGCUGCCUUGGUGCCCUCAGGGGCAUUGCCCCUUUAAAAGUCUGACUCCAGUGUGGACACAGCUUUCCUCGACUCUCCCUGACACUCCUGGGACCAGGCUAUAACAUUUAAACAAGACUUGACUGGAGUCUUGUGGAGUAAAGCAAAACAACAGGCAAAGAAAUAGGCGAGAGCCAUGAGAAGAAAGCAACACACAGCCAGACAACUUGGCUCCCGGCCGGUUUUCCAGGAGGGCCCCAGGGGCCUGGUCAGGCCCAUCCCAAGUCCUCAGCAUCCACCAGACAGAAACUCGCACCCAGGAAAGAGGCCACCUCAAGUCUGGACGCCGUAAGCAGAGCCCAGAGAGAGCAGGGCUUCUGUGUUGCCUUCGGCUUUCCCUGUUCCAGUUUCUUGUCUGAAGUCUGUCUUUUGCCUGGUGAUCAGCCCUGGAACUGUUGGCCCGGUUCUUCAGGGGAGCCUGUGACCUGCACCCCAAGCACUCAAAUAGCCAGCCACAUCAGAAAACACCACAAGCCCUCUAGCCAGACCAAAGCUAUAGGUGUCGGGGGGCUGGAGACGGCCGUGGGGACAGGAGAAACAGACAGCAUAGUAGCUCACUCCUAGGGUCUGGAAUGAGCCAGUCUGGUCCACAGAUAUAGCUGCUGAUGCUCGGCGGGGAGGGGGGCGGUGUCUCUUGAAGCCCCACCCCUUUAGGGCAUGGCCUCUUGAUAGCUUUAAAGAGGAAUGAUGGGAACAGAAUGGCUUCACAGGGUAAAACAAGGUGGGCUAUUAGACUUCGUGAUUUGCUGGUCCCCUUACAGAGAUGCAGAGAUCUUCUCCCAAGUCUGAAUCCUGUAGCCUCACUCCUGGUCUGCACAGCACCACCUGAGCUUCAUUUUGGGUUUCCAUCCUAGUCUCGGAGACACCAGUUCAGAGGCUGGCUCAGCCUGUGUAGUGGUCAGGAGCAUGGAAGAUUUAUAAUCUGAGGGAGCUGCAUCUAAAUCUCAGCUCUGCCGUUUGAUGGCAAUGACCACGUCUGCCCACCCUCCACUCCCAGUCCCUGCCUCAAGCUCCUCUUCUAUACAAUGGGGAUGAUACCACUAAACAUCGAUGGUUGUUCUGAGAGUUGAAUGUUCUACCAUAAGAAAGAAACUUAACAUAGUCUAUGGCACAUACACAUGGCAGCAAUAACCAUUAUAAUGAUCAUGCCUGCUCAUUGAAGAACAAAAUACCUAUAGUGCCAUGGGGAUGGCUGGGAGUCACACUAGAUGGAGCCUUCUCUUCCACCACCCCGCCAAAGAAGUGGGCACGGAGGGCACAAAUGAAUGAAGAGGGGUCUUCCUCAGAAGGCGGUGGAACCAACGGGCUGAUCACGUGUGCAAGAGUGCUGGGUUGGUUUCACACUGGUCAGCGACCACUCUCCGCUCCCUCCAGCUCUCUCCCUGAAUUUCAGCCUUCACAGAGCCCCUGUUCCCAUCCCGCCUGCAGCCAGCGAUUGGUAAACCAAAAUCAAGACCUUCGGGCAGAUGCUGCUACAGCUUCUAUUUCAUGAUUCUGCCUUUCCUUUGAGCCCAAGCCUACAGAGCCAGUGGCCAAAAACCCCUUCCCCAACACAAGUGGGUCUUAAAAUGCAUUGCUUCCUCACUCAGUAAAAAAGCUAUUUUAUUUGAAUAGAUCUGAGGCUGUUUUCUACACUCUCAGAAUAAAAAAAAUUGUGAAAGAAAGGCUUUAGAGAUUACAGGACUUUUUACCCAAAUAUGAUGAGUUAUUCAUUUAAAAAUAAACUACAGACAGGCAUGUUUCUCCAUACACAGGCAGAAAGAUGCCAUUAACUAGGAAUUUCUGUAAGUACUCUGCUUUUCUUGGCCAAUAUGGAAAGAGCCUAGGAGCUGGAAAUAGAAUGAGAAGCUAAUUCUGUUUUCCUGGUCUCUACCAAUGUGUGUAGGUAAGUGGCUUGAUCGCACUGUGGCUCUGUGAUCCAUCUGAAGAAACACGCGGGAUGGCUUACCACCCUGACUGCUCUUCUGGAAAGGAGGCCAGCAGCUGAGCAGCAGUCAGCACGGAGGUACCCAUCAUGGAGCCACAGCCUGGCACGAAUUGAUGUCUGGAUCCAGGCAGGGUCACCAAAGGCAGGAGAAGAAUCCAACCAUCAUGCUGUGAAAAGCCCAACGUAACCACAUGGAGAGGCCACAUGGAAAGGAACUGAAGCUGUGGUCAACAGCAGCAGUUGAGUUCCCAGUCAACAGCCAGCUCCAACUUUCUAGUCAUGUGAGUGAGCCAUCUUGGAAGUGCAUCUUGCAACCUCAGUCAAGCCAUGUUAGCUGGCAUCAUGAAGAGCAAACAUGAACCAUCCUUGCUGAGCCCUGCCCAAACUGCAGAAUUCUGAGCAAAUAAAUGUUGUUCUUUUAGGUUACUAA